GGAUUGUGGCUCAGUGGUUGAGUGCUUGCCUAGCAUGUGCAAGGCCCUGGGUUCGAUCCUCAGCACCA
rnacentral:tRNA from 1 species